UGCCAGCCGCCGCGGUAACACGGGGGGAGCAAGCGUUGUUCGGAAUCACUGGGCGUAAAGGGCGUGUAGGCGGUUUGGUAAGUGAGAUGUGAAAGCCCCCGGCUCACCCGGGGAGGGUCAUCUCAUACUGCUGAACUUGAGUACGGAAGAGGAUGAGGGAAUUCCUGGUGUAGCGGUGAAAUGCGUAGAUAUCAGGAGGAACACCGGUGGCGAAGGCGCUCAUCUGGUCCGUUACUGACGCUGAGGCGCGAAAGCUAGGGGAGCGAACGGGAUUAGAUA
rnacentral:rRNA from 1 species